rnacentral:lncRNA from 1 species
CUGACCUGUAACUAACUAUAUAGACCAGACUGGCCUCAAUCUCACAGAGAUCUGCCUGCCUAUGCUGGGGUUGCAGGCAUGCACCACCACAGCCAGCUAAAACCACACACUUUAAAAUCUAGUUUCUUAGAUAUGUUAAAGUAGAGCUGAAUUACAAUACAAAAUACUAAGAUGAUAGUAUAAUGUUUUUCCACAGUGUCUCUUACUGUGGGACAUUUUGCAAUGGACCUGAGCAAACCCAAGCCUGGUUUGUACACACUCAGGUCCUACAAACAACAGCAAAAAUCAGGGUCUGGAAAGGUGCCCCCUAUGCUGGAAGAUUGAAAGGGGCAGGCUGACCUUGACCCUGUUCUCCAGAUAGCCGAGGAGGCUUCUACUUGCUGCCGGUGAAUGGCUGCUCAGAGGAGGAUGACAGAGAGAUAAGGGAGCGGUUGGGGGGCCUCAAAGUCUCCCUCAGUGCCUCUGUCCCCCGGCACCACCAUAAAGGAAUUCCUCCUCUACAAGAUGUGCCAGUAGAUGCCUUCACCCCACGCCGAAGUGUGUGUACACCUCCUCCCCAGCCACCUCCUGUGGCUCCCCGGCCUCCCAGGCCCAACUGGCUACUGACAGAACCCCUAAACAGAGAGGACCCCCAUCAGAAUCAGAGCCAGGCCCCAGCCCAAAGCCGAAGCCACAGCCACAGUCGAGGUCAAGGCAAGUCCCCUGGGCGCAGGCGCUCCCCUUCUCCCACUCCCAUCAGUACUGCCAGCACAUCCAAUGGGCGCUACUACAGGCCUCGAAAGGCCCGGCCCUCCCUUCCCCGACCUCUGGAUGGGCAGGUAGCCAGACAAGGGCCCUCAGAGAAUGGAGCUGGUGGAACAGCUGAGGAGUCAGUCAUGAAGGCCUCCACUGGAGAGCUGAGGACAGUCUCGCUGUCCAAAAUGAAGCAGUCCUUGGGCAUCAGCAUUUCAGGGGGCAUUGAGUCCAAGGUGCAGCCCAUGGUGAAGAUAGAGAAGAUCUUCCCAGGUGGAGCUGCCUUCUUCAGUGGGGCCCUACAGGUUGGUAAAGCACUAGGCUUGGAGUUGGAAGUGUGGCUGGGUGCAGGUCUGCUCCACAUUCAUCUUCCAGACAGGCAUGUUCAG